UACGAAGGGGGCUAGCGUUGCUCGGAAUUACUGGGCGUAAAGCGCACGUAGGCGGCUUCUUAAGUCGGUGGUGAAAUCCUGGAGCUCAACUCCAGAACUGCCUUCGAUACUGGGAAGCUCGAGUCCGGGAGAGGUGAGUGGAACUGCGAGUGUAGAGGUGAAAUUCGUAGAUAUUCGCAAGAACACCAGUGGCGAAGGCGGCUCACUGGCCCGGUACUGACGCUGAGGCACGAAAGCGUGGGGAGCAAACAGG
rnacentral:rRNA from 1 species